rnacentral:miRNA from 1 species
CUGUUAAUCACCUUGGAAGCUUAUUAAAAUGCAGAUUCUGAUUCAGUAGAGUCUUCAUGUCUAAUAAACUCCCAGGGGUGCCAGC